rnacentral:rRNA from 1 species
AUGACAUGUUGUGUUAUUCUUCACAAUAUGAUUCUCGAAGAUGCGAGAGACAUGAACUUGGACUUCUUCUACGACAAUGUGGGUAGCCAUGUCAAACCAACUAGAGACCCUAACCGCAUUAGAGCUUUUCUUCAGACAUAUAAGGAGAUUGAAAAUGCAAACACCCACUUUAAGCUUCAGGAGGACCUCAUUGAGCACCAUUGGCAAAGGGUUGGAUAG